rnacentral:rRNA from 1 species
UACGAAGGGGGCUAGCGUUGCUCGGAUUGACUGGGCGUAAAGGGCGCGUAGGCGGUUCGUACAGUCAGACGUGAAAUUCCUGGGCUCAACCUGGGGGCUGCGUUUGAUACGUGCGGACUUGAGUGCGGAAGAGGGUCGUGGAAUUCCCAGUGUAGAGGUGAAAAUUCGUAGAUAUUGGGAAGAACACCGGUGGCGAAGGCGGCGACCUGGUCCGAUACUGACGCUGAGGCGCGAAAGCGUGGGGAGCAACAGG